rnacentral:rRNA from 1 species
AAGGAUCAUUACAGUGUUCCCUGCCCUUCGGGGUAGGAUCGCCACCCUUGAAUACCUAUAAGUGUUGCUUUGGCGGGCCCUGUGGCCUAGCCACGCCCCGGCUCCGGCGGGGGAGUGCCCGCCAGAGGCUUCUCUAAACCUGAUUAUUAGUGUCGUCUGAGUACUAUAUAAUAGUUAAAACUUUCAACAACGGAUCUCUUGGUUCUGGCAUCGAUGAAGAACGCAGCGAAAUGCGAUAAGUAAUGUGAAUUGCAGAAUUCAGUGAAUCAUCGAAUCUUUGAACGCACAUUGCGCCCCGUGGUAUUCCGCGGGGCAUGCCUGUUCGAGCGUCAUUAUAACCAAUCCAGCGUGCUGGGUCUUGGGCACCGCCGCCUGGCGGGCCUCAAAAUCAGUGGCGGUACGGCCGGGCUCUAAGCGUAGUAAAUCUUCUCGCUAUAGGGUCCCGGGCGGCACUGGCCAGCAACCCCCAAUCUUUUACAGGUUGACCUCGGAUCAGGUAGGGAUACCCGCUGAACUUAA